UACAGAGGUCUCAAGCGUUGUUCGGAUUCACUGGGCGUAAAGGGUGCGUAGGCGGGCCUUUAAGUCAGGGGUGAAAUCCUGGAGCUCAACUCCAGAACUGCCUUUGAUACUGAAGAUCUUGAGUUCGGGAGAGGUGAGUGGAACUGCGAGUGUAGAGGUGAAAUUCGUAGAUAUUCGCAAGAACACCAGUGGCGAAGGCGGCUCACUGGCCCGAUACUGACGCUGAGGCACGAAAGCGUGGGGAGCAAACAGG
rnacentral:rRNA from 1 species